CAACCCUCCUGCCUCAGUCUGCCAAAGUGCUGGGAUUACAGGUCUGUGCCACUGUGACUGGCCUCUGUAACUUCUUAAUUCUGUCUGCAGGAGCCACAUGGAAUAAUUUAUUUAGUGCUUUAAAUAUAUAUAUAUGUCACUAAGCCAUUUUAAGGAAGAUAAUCAGAAAAUAAUUAUCAAGCUGUUUUGACCAAUAUAAUUCAGAUUCUACUUCAAAAAAUUACAAGAGAUUGCCUGAAUUAUUUUUUAUAUUAAAAACAUAGCAGGCAUAUGUUACACAAUGAGUUUUGUUCUGUCUUUCAUUUGUUAAUACUUUCUUAGGAUGAUAAUAGAAAAAAAAUUUGAGAAUUUAUCUUUCUCUGUACCAUCAAAUCUACAGUUUUCCGUUGUUUAUUCUCAGUCAUUUCCAUUCCCAAUUUAAAUGUUGGAUAUAAUAACCAGCCAUAUUAAAGGCCCGAUUCUAUGAAUAGAAAACAUGAAAAAAAAUUUAAGCGAGGAUUUGGGAGAUGGUGGUAGGUAACUGAACUUGGUAAUAACAAUAAAAUGAUCCCAAUCAGAGGCUGUUGUGUGAGCACAGCCUGUACAAUUAAUAGUGACACUUCAGCAGCAAAGCCACUCCAAGAAUCAUACCAUCGUUUGCCAUUUUAUAUUUCUCUCCAAGAUUUUCCAGAGAAAUGCCAUCAAAAGCACAAAUACUAUUUCUAGGAUUCCAAACUCUAAGAAACAUAUUAAUUCAGAAGAUGUUAAAGCAUCAAAACAGAGAGGAAAAUGUUGGAAUGGUUACUAUUUAUGACUAGCUUCUGCUCUCUGCACUGAAGAGCGUAGCUAUUUCCUUCAUUUUACAGUUGACAUUCAGAAAAAGUACAUUAAAAGUACCCAGAAAAGCCUUAUCUCUGCAUAUUUUUGCAAUUUGGAAGGACAAAUAGAAACAACAUUAGAACUUGAUACAUUUAGUCGUACUCUGUAUUGUAGACUUGGAGUGGAAAAACUGUAUUGUAGACUCGGAGUGGAAAAAACACAAACUGUUUUCCCUCCGCUCUCACACCACAACAAUCAACACAGAUGACUUCUGUGACCAAAUGUGUAGCAGCUUCUCCACACCAACAAGCAAUAGGCAAUCAAUCAGUUCUGCAGCAGACACCAGCUGGGUGUCAUCCAGUUUAAUUCCAACACAGCCUGGAUGGAGAUAUCAUCAGAUCCCACAGCUUAAAGGCUCAGUCCCACAAGACCACCGUUCGCUUCACAUGGCAGUCACAGGCCCUGGGUUGUUUUACAUGCGCUUCUGACCAAUUGUCUAUAAAUCAGGGUUCCCAUGACCCCUUCCUUGUGUUCAAUGAAUUUGCUAGAGUAGCUAAGAGAACUCAGAAAAAGACGUGACUCAGUUUGUUGUAAAGGAUAUUACAGAGUACAGAUGAAAAGAUACGUAAGGAAAGACAUGGGGCAAAGGAUGUGGAGCUUCCCUCCUGGGCACACCACCCUCCAGGAACCUCCACACAUUUGGCUCUCCAGCAGUUGUCUGAACCUAGUCUUUUUUGUGUUUACAGAGGCUUCAUUACGAAAGCAUGACUGACAAAACCAUUGGCUAUUGAUCAAAAGGAACUUUCCACCAUUUCAUUGAACCUGUGAGUGAAAAUGAUCCCAAAAGUAUAGAGAAAAUAAAGAACAACGGAGUCUCGCUCUGUCGCCCAGGCUGGAGUGCAGCG
rnacentral:lncRNA from 1 species